rnacentral:lncRNA from 1 species
AAAGCAUUCAUUACUUCAGAGGAGCCCCAGGUUGCUGUAGUUUCCACUGAGGCAAAUAUAGGUGUUUAGGAUUGAGGAACUGGAAGGAGCUGCCUUAACACCACAUAGUCAGCUGCAUCCUGUACAGGCCAGGCACUUUAGGCAAUUACACAGGUAUUGCAUGUUAUGUUGGGCUGUUACUCCACCUAUCCUAAGAGAACAAACAGCUGACCGGAGGGGAAGAAGAAAGCAAACGUCUUGGAAAAUAGAGCUAAAAGGGAAUUCAAAUUAUUGGAGAUAGUUUCAUGAAUGAUCUCCAGCUAUGAAUGAAGACUUUCCCCUUUUGAAGGCCACAAAAUGAAGGUGAGACAAUGGGUUUUAAACUAGUUUAAAUAGCUAUGCUAAUCCAAAGCUUUCU